CUUUCCCUUUCUUUUCCUUUCUUUUCUCUCUACAUUUCUCUUCUUUUCUUUUCUUUUCUUUCCUUUAAAUGAAACUCGGAACAGGGUGUAACUCUCUUCUUCUCGUCGGUCUCCUCUCUCAAACCAGUCAUCUUGGUCGCUCACAUUACCGAUUAACAGAAAUACCGCGUUAUUCUCCUUUCAAUCGUCAUCCGCCCGACAUCAAACGCCAUCCGUUGUCACUCUCGUCAAAGUCGUAACCUAGGUUGUUCAAUCGGCUCAAUCGAAGGUUCAAUCUGCAACUAUUCUCCAAGUUCAGUUAUCACCACACUCCACUCACGCCGGUUAGAUUGAAGACGACUAGUUCGUAAGACGUAAAACGUCGACAUUUCCCAGGUACUUAAUGAUUGUCUUGGACCCUUGCUUCUGAAUAAGCUGAUUAAGUAUCUUCAAGAAGGAUCUGAGAAUUUUGAUGGUUAUAUCCUAGCAAUUUCCCUUGGAUUGACUUCCAUUUUGAAAUCUUUUCUUGAUACAAAAUACACAUUUCGGCUUUCCAAAUUAAAGUUAAAACUACGUUCUGGCCUUAUGACUUUUAUAUUUGAAAAGUGAUCAAGAAGUGAAGUAGCUGAUUAUGGAUCAUGUCAAUCUUUCCAUUCCAAAGGGAUCUCUAGUUGCAGUUAUUGGAGAGGUUGGUUCAGGUAAAUCAUCCUUGUUGAACACUAUCCCGGGAGAAAUGAAGCUUACCAAGGGAUCUACAAAUUCAAGUAGAUCUGUUUCCUAUGUCCCACAGUUUGCUUAGGAAAGAUGAACCUUAACUUCACUUGCUAUAUAUUAGAAAAAUCAACAACAUAGACAAGUAACUGAAGACCGCAUAAUUUGUUUUUGAGUCUCAUUUGUCACUGUGAGUUCUCAGACAGCAAUAUCAAGAGAAAAGGAGAAGAUUAGCUUACCUGUUUGAUGAAUUUCUGUCUGGAGGUCGAAAAUAGGGAGGGUGGAGGUCCGACGGGCGACCUGGUGGCAAGAUGGCGACGGCCGACGAGCUCUCUUUGGCCUCGAUGGGGAGCUCUCGAUGGCGACAUUGUUUUUUGGCUCUGUGCUUUCUUUUAGGUUACGAGGGAAGAAGGAAUGGAGAGGGAUAGGAGCGUUCUUAUUUCUAAUUAACGUAUGUUACAAGCUGACCGGGUAAGAAAGUUGGGCUAGACAAUCUGAUCGAGAAAGCCACAUAUUAAAUAUGUGGUGUCCGGGUCAAACGGGUAUAAAGAGGUUAAAUCCACGAAAAAACCCACAUAAGCAUUUUUGUUUUUCCUUAAAAUUCCAAAAAACCCUUGAUGAAAGGAUAAAUAUAUUACCCUGUAUAAGUAAUUUAUAAAAGUGCGAUGUCCCAAUUCGUUCCCAUCCAUCUUUUACUCUAAGCUUUCUCGCUCUUUUAGUUUCCCUAAGACUAUAUUUGGCUAAGCUUAAAAAAAGCAUUUUAACUUAUUACCAAUUUCACACCAAUAUAACUUAAAAAUAAUGUCUCUCUAAAAAGAAUGUUUUAACAAACAUUUUUUUUAAAAACAACUAAACUCGUUAUUCCACUAUGUCUUACCAUUUGAAGAAAUUGAUCAAUAAACUUUAACCUAAUAAACUUUUACAUCUACUGUACACAUCACAUACGCCUCCAUCUUUCGAUCGUUUCCUCCAAGCGAGACCUCCAGCUCGCCUCUCCUGAUCGUAGCCUUCUCCCAUGUGAAGCCACCUGCCGAAUUCCGUUGACUCCACUGCUAGGAGCGAUGGGUAUGCUGUUUAAGAAGUCUGGCUGUAAAGUAGAAACAUCACUGUGUUGUUUUUUCUGCUGUCGAUUUUGCUAGUUGCCGGCGAAUCUUGUGUUUGCAUCAUGUGUUGGACUUGGUUUACCCGGUGCUUCUUUAGGAGUGAUGGGUAUACGGUUUAAGAAGUUUGGUAUAGUUUCCGGCUGGUGUUAUGUUGGUGGUGUCAUUUGUUACGACCGGAGGCUACUUAAAUGGUGUUAUAAGCAGUUUUCAUUAAUGCUGUUUAAUACUUAAAAAAUUGUAACUUUAUGCACUCAAGAUUCUAUUUUUUUUUACUGAAUGAGAAGUAUACAUUCAGUAAAGAGUUGGGGGAUGAGUGUGAAUCAUGGUAGUUUCCUUAAAUGAUUAUGAAGUUUUCUGGUAGCUCCUUUGGAAAAUAGCUUUUGAAAAGAAAUCACUAUAUGGUGUUAUGAUAUUUCAUAGCAAUUCCAUGAUGGAGGAUUUGUAUAUGUUAACUACAAGGAAGCCUUUUUUGGUAAUUUUACACAUAUAAGCAGUUUUUUUUGCCAAACACUAAGAGUGGAACUUAUAGCAGUUUGACAUCGGAUAAGUUUUGUCAAAUAUAUUUUUUUAAAACUCUGUUUUGACAUCGCUAUAAGCUAAUAAGAUAUAAGUUAAUAAGUUAAAACUAUUUUAAUAAGCUUUGCCACACACCCUGUAAGACCUAGCAAGAAUGUGUUCAUCGUCAUACUGAAUUGAUCCAAAAAAGGUAAUUAAUCUUGUCUGAUGAUUACGCUUUUGUAUUAUUGUUCAUAUUUCUUAGUUUUUUGAUUGAUUGACUCUAUCUUAUAUAAUUGUUAAUCUCUUCUAUUUUCGAUCUAUUGUCUCGGAUUCCGGUUUAGAGGAUUUGAGCUCAUCGGAUUCAAGAAAGACAUAAACUAGUUGAAACCAAAUUGUCUUCAGAAGUUUAAGAAGUUUAGUCAGGUUAGCAAUUUUCCCCUUUUAUUAUUCUAUAUGUAAUGAAAUUUUCUGACCGCCGGGUGUUCAAUUAAAUGUCCGGAGGUUUUCAAGUAUUAAAACAUGAAUUAUAAACUCAACUGAAUAAUUCUAUGCAAAUAUAAAAUGAUUUUACUUUAUUAAUUGAUGAUUUUAAGUUUUAAAUGAUUUUGUAACUUUAAUGAUAGAAUGGAAUCAAGAUCACUAAUUUAUAAGAUGUUAAGAGUUUUAAUAAUUAUCUUUUUUUUACAGAAAUGGUCACUUUGAUUUUUGUCUAGUAACGAGGUAAAAUUUAAUUUUAACUAUAAACAUUCUGUGAAUAUUUGUUUGAAUACAAUCUACUUUAUAACUUAAAAUUCUAUUUUUCUUUUUGAUAAAAUAGAUCUUUUGGCAAAAACCUCUUCCAACUACUAUGACUCAUAAAGGUACUGUUUGGACCUUAAAAGGAGGGGUCUUUAUCUUCAAGCCUUUGAACAUAAUCUCCCUGUUUGGUUGCAUGGUUAAAGAGAUAUGAUCAAAGAAAUAAUUUCUUGAACACUUCACAUUGCCUAUAAAGUGUUCAAGAAAUGAUUUUUUUGGUGACAUCUCUUUAACCAUGCAACCAAACAGGGAGAUUACAUUCAAAGGCUUAAACAUGAAGGCCCCUCAUCUUAAGGUCCAAGCAGUAUCUUUAGAGUCGAAAUUUGCGUUAGUUCGUAUCCCUAUUCCAAUGACGAUCAUGUUUUUUCCUUCGGUAAUUUUCUUAAAGAGGUCAAAAUGGGGAUAUUUAGGAUCUUUCCACUUGGUCUAAGGUUGAUUUGUAUACGGCUGAUUGUGUGAAUUUGUGUGUCUUAUUUGUUCAUUCCUCCGGUUGAAAAUAAAAGAUGAAACGUCAUUUGGCUUGAUGUUUUUUAAUGCUAUCAAUAUCUCCUUAAAGUUGGUGCAACACUAAUGACACUCCUCUAAUGGUAAAUUUUAUGCUUAUGCUAUCAAUAUCUCCUUUAUGUUUUUAUUAUUAAAAAGGUAAAUUAAUAAUAAAAACAUAAAAUUUACCGUUAGAGGACUAUUGUUAGUUUUGCACCAACUUUAAGGGAUAUAUUGAUAGCAUCAAACAACAUUCAGUUAAAUGGUGUUUCAUUUUCUACUUUCAACCGGAGGAAUAAAAAAAUAAGCCUCACACAAAUUGGCACAAUCAACCAUAGACCAACUAGAAAAUGUGGAAGGAUCCUAAAUAUCCCAUUUUGACCUCUUUAAGAAAAUUACUAAAGAAAAAACAGAAUCUUCAAUGGGACAGGGAUACAAAUUAACGCAAGUUUUCGACUCUAAAGGUGCUACUUUAGACGUUAAGAGGAUGGACUUUCAUGUUCGAGCCUUUGAACUUAAUCUCCUUGUUUGGUUGCAUGGUUAAAGAGAUAUCACUAAAGAAAUCAUUUCUUGAACUGUUUGGUUGCAUGGUUAAAGAGAUAUCACUAAAGAAAUGAUUUCUUUGAUGAUAUCUCUUAAACCAUACCACCAGGGAGAUUACAUUCAAAGACUUGAAGAUGAAGACCCUUCCUCUUAAGGUCCAAGGAGUACCUUUGGAGGUUUUUCCAAAGAUAUGUUUUAUGAAAAACAAAAAUAGAAUUUUAAGUUAUGAAGUUGAUUGUAUUCAAACAAAUGCUUACAUAAUGUUUAUAGUUAAAAAUAAAUUUUACCUUGUUGUAACUAGACAACGAAUCAAAGUGACCAUUUCUGUAAUAAAAGAUAAUUAUUAAAACUCAAAAUACAAAACUCUUAACAUCUUAUAGAUUUGUGAUCUUGAUUCCAUUCUAUCAUUGAAGUUACAAAAUCAUCUAAAACUUAAAAUCAUCCAUUAAUAAACCAAAAUCAGUUAAUAUUUGCAUAGAAUUACUCAUUUGACCAGUGUUUUAAUACUUGAAAACCUCCACUUACAGAAAAUUUCAUUACAUACAGAAUAAAUAAGGGGGAAAUCGCUAACUUCGUCUAAAGGCAAUUUGGUUUCAACUAGCUUAUAUAUCUUUCUUGAAUCCGAUGAGCUCAAUUCCUCUAAACUGGAAUCCGAUACAAUAGAUUGAAAACAUAAUAGAUUAACAAGUAGAUAAAACAGAGUUAAUCAAUCAAAAAACUAAGAAAUAUGAACAAUGAUAGAAACACAUAAUCAUCAAACAAGAUUAAUUACCUAUUUUGGAUCAAUUUAGUAUGAUGAUGAACAUAUUCUUGCUAGGUUUUAGAGGGUGUUUGGCAAAGUUUAUUAAAAUAGCUUUCAACUUAUUAACUUAUAGCCUAUUAGCUUAUAGCAGUGUCAAAAUGGAGUGAGUGGCUGGGUGGGUUAGAGGGGAAGAUAAUAACAUCUGAUGCAAACUCGACAUUGAUAUGGUCAAAUGACAAUUCAAUCUUUCGUGUUCCUUUUACACAACUAUAUCAAAAGGUUUUAUAUUGAAUUCUAAACCAAAUUUCAAAUCCUUUUAAAGUGUUUUUUCAAGAAAAAAGUUUUUUAAGAGGUUCCUGAAGGGUUUGGCUGGUUGAAAAAGAUUCAUGUUUAAGCUCAAGAUUAAAUGUCAAUGGAGAAAAUGUUACAAGGAUGAUUCAAGAGCUUGAUCAACUGAUGAAGACAUAUGAGUUCGUAUAUUAUGGGAGUGAACUGCUUCAAAUAGAUGAUCAAAUGGGGAUGCCAAUUCAUUUGAUUUAGUUUUGGAAGUUAAUAUGAGAAGUCAGGUAAACUAAUUGUAAUAGCAUUGUCUAUUUUUUUUUUAUUAAAACAUUGUAAUUCAAAAAAUGUAUUUGUUAAUAAAAGUAUAAGUUCCUUGUCACGGGAUGACUCUUGUGACUCUUGUGAUUAGUCAGGCUAACUUUGAUGAUCUAGAUGUACUAACGAAUUUGGAAAUCAAGCUAACUUUGAUGAUCUAGAUUUACUAACGAACUUGGAAAUCAAGAGACACUUAUCGAUGAAUUCUAUGAAAGAAAUCUUGUAUUGUAGAACUCAACUACUUUACAAGGCAACUUAUCAAUGAAUUCUACUAAUGAGACCUCCUUUCUAUUUAUAGAGACUUUACACCUCCUCAAAUGAAAGUUUCUAGGUUCUGUAUCUUGCCGACUCUUAUAGGCUCUUCCAAUGAUAUCUAUAUAACAUUUACAAGAUUCUAUAAUAUACUACACUAUUCUACAACGUCCUAGAGAUUUCUAGGACGUUCCAGCAUUAUCCAACUUGUUCUUUCGUGACCUAGCAUGUUCUAGGAUGUUCUAAAGUCCUCAGAGUUAUUCUAGUUUCAUCUUGUAUCUUCUAGAUCAUCCCUGGUCGAUGGUUGUCCAUCGGAACCACUAUUAGGUUGAUGAUUCCUUCCCAUUGUGCGAUCUUCAUGGAUAUCCCACGAAAAGCUCCUAGGAAAGGAUUGGAUGGAGAGUUAACAACCUUUAACCGACCUAACUGAUUAUAUAUAUAAUAAAAUCCCAAAAGGCUUAUGCACGGUGCCUAAGUCGUGCUCAAUACCAAGUGGUUUCAAGCCGUAUUCCUUGAUGAUUGUGGUUCCCCCCGCUUCGUGUAUCUCGUCCAUCAAACGUUCUUUCUUCCAUCUUGUUUUUUCCGUUUUUUUUUGUUAUUCUAAGAGGGUGUUUGCAAAGCUUAUAAAAAUGCCUUUUUAACUUAUUACCGAUUCCACACCGGUACAAGUCAAAAAAAAUGUUUGGGUAUUUUUUUUUUUUUUAAAAACAGCUUUUAGCUGUUGGGAACCUCAAAUAAGUCGUUUUUUGAUAACUUACCCCUCACAUAUCAAAACUCCUUAUUUCACCGUUCAAAAAAUUUGACAAAUAUAUCCUUACCCUAAACCUUACAUCGACUCAAAUAAUCGUACGCCUCCAACAUAUGCUGUUCUCGAUUUGCCUCCUCAAGCCGUCCCCACGAAGCAUCACCAUUAGGCAUCUCCUCCCCACCGGCCGAUCGUCACAGCCCACAGCACUGGCGACCUUCGACCCCAUAAAGUGACUUGACAAAUGAUCAUGGCUAUGAAAACUUCCAAGUAGAAUUAUUUCACUCCACUACUUGGGAAUGGAGGGACCUUGAUGCACAUGAAUGGUGGGAUUAUCGAAACAAUGAACUAUCAUUCUUAACAGGAAAAAAACUUGAGUGUGUUGUUCCGAUUCAUCAAUGUUAUGAAGUCUUUUCAUUUCAUUCAGAUUUUGAGACAGUUUGUAUGCCAAGGUGAUAGAUGUGAUUGUAAAUAUGAUCAUGUUUUUUCAUUUUGAUACGGUUUGAUGUUAUAAUUAGACAUAUUGGUUGUACAAGCACGUGAUAUAUACCAUUUAUUUCAUGUCA